rnacentral:rRNA from 1 species
AUACGUAGGGGGCGAGCGUUGUCCGGAAUGAUUGGGCGUAAAGGGCGCGUAGGCGGCCCGGUAAGUCUGGAGUGAAAGUCCUGUUUUUAAGAUGGGAAUUGCGUUGGAUACUGUCGGGCUUGAGGGCAGGAGAGGAAAGUGGAAUUCCCAGCGUAGCGGUGAAAUGCGUAGAGAUUGGGAGGAACACCAGUGGCGAAGGCGACUUACUGGACUGUAACUGACGCUGAGGCGCGAAAGUGUGGGGAGCAAACAGGAUUAGAUACCCUGGUAGUCCACACUGUAAACGAUGAAUGCUAGGUGUAGGGGGUAUCGACCCCUUCUGUGCCGCAGUCAACACAAUAAGCAUUCCGCCUGGGGAGUACGGCCGCAAGGUUGAAACUCAAAGGAAUUGGCGGGG